rnacentral:lncRNA from 1 species
AGGCCUCUCACUUUGUAGAUCCGAAGAGAAGUCAACCUUGGGAAGAUGCUGAGCGGGAAGCAGAGAGAAUUGCAAGUACUAUCGAGGAUGUCCAACCUUUCAAGUAAAGAGAAGUGACAUUUGAAGAACUCAGGUAGGAGCAACUCUAGGUUAUUCGAUUCAUAGAUACGCAAUGAUUUCAAUGUAAUGGGCAAACAAACUCUGCGCAAGGUUCUGGAAAAAGAACAUUUUGUGAUUGUCAAAUCUUGAAGACAAGUAUUGCUUUGCAAUAUUUCCUCCUCCAGUAGGGACUCCAAAGAGUCGGCUUUUUCAAUCGAGAGCUUCUGCAGUGCUGGUGGCAGUUUCGUCCACUGUGAGAUGUCUGAAGUAAUCAAACUCUCAAGACAAAUGAAAUCACUAGCCGGGCUCAUCAAAGACACACGACCAUUAUUCCUCGUCGUUAAUUCCCGGAUGGCUGAAACCCUUGGAAGUGGAGCCACAAGCCGCUUACAUUCUGUAAUCUCUAGUUUCGUCAACAAUGGCAGAUGGUCUGGUAAGUUCCCAGUUAGCUUGGGACAAUAAUGUAUAUAAAGCUCCUUGAGACGAGGGAAUUCUCCACCUUGGCCUCCCAAACACAGCCAUUCCUUCCAUUUUGGCAUAUACACAAACGACAGAGCUUUUAGGGAUACAAAGGAGGGCUUAGUUGAGGAAGGAUCAGUCCCAUAAAACUCAGCACCCACCCUUUCUACUUUCUCCGCCCCAUUGAUAUAUAAAUGUUUAAGAGAGGGUAGUUGUCCAAGAGGUGGGAAGGCUGACACAUUCUUACAAAGCCAGAGACGUAGGGACACCAUAUUGAUCAUCAGCAUUGCGGGACCUCCCAACCAAUCUGGAAAUCUUAAACCACCAUAUCCUUGAAUCGUGAGUCUCUUCAAAUUUGAAUGAGGUUGUAAGUUGUUGAGCACUAUGUCUGCUCCAUUUUGAUCAACACCAUCAUCGUCAUUCCACUCCAACCGCAAAUCAUUCAGGUACUGCUUGCCUACCAAAUUAGUCUCCGAGGCAUCCCUACCAUCGACCACAUUCUGCAACUCUUUAAUGCGAAGAAUGCCACCAAUGUGGGAAAGCUCCCUCAACUCUCCAACCCUUGUCCCACUCUUCUUGUCCACUCUAUAAUUAGUCAAUUUUUGUAAACUUUUUAAUUGACACAAUUGACUUGGCAUCUCUUUGACACUGCUAUGCCUAAUAUCAAGAUGGCGCAACCUUAUCAAUUUGCACAUCAUUAUAGGCAAUUCAACAGGAUAUUUACAAAAAGAUAAUAUCAAUGUUUGUAAAUUAUACAAACUACAAACCGAAUCCGGUAACCUUUUGAUGGAUGUGUAGGAAAGGUCCAAAUAGCGCAAGUGUUUUAAAUUUCCAAUUGUAUCAGACAAAUCAAUUAUCCCAUAGUAAGACAAUGACAACACCCGCAAAUAUUGAACUUUCGAUAUUAAAUCAUUUAGAACUCUAUUACUCAAUCGAAACCAUGGUGAAUAACCAUAAUUGCAUGGUCCCCUACUCUUUGAAACCUUAUCCAUCAAGUGAUACCUAGGCGAAUAGCCUAGGGUCAAGGGUAAGAAGGUCCGAAGGCCAUUCACGUUAGUAAGGGUCUCGAAUCUCUCAAAGAGAUCAUAUUCACUUAUAAAGUAUGAUAAGUGGCGAAACUUUUCAGGAAUUUCAUUCAUCUUACCAUCCUUCAACUGAACACAAAAUUUUCCGGAAACAAGUUGAGCCAAGUCGUUGAUGAGAUCAUGCAUUACAAAAUAUGAUUUGUGGCUACUAGACUUCUGAAAAAAUGACCUUGAUACUAGGCCAUAAAAGUACCCAUCACCCACCUUUUCCAUUGUUUUCUUGCUUGCAGAUUGGUCCAAAAAACCUUCUGCCAUCCAUAAUAGAAUCAAGUUUUCCUUUUCAAAUUCGUAGUCUUUAGGAAAAAUUGAGCAAUAUGCAAAACACUGCUUUAAAUGGGAAGGAAGAAAAGAAUAGCUUAACCUUAAGGCAGGGAGAAUUUCAUCAUUUGCUAAAUCCCAAGUUUCACUGUUCAAUACAUUUUCCCAUUCUUCUACUCGUGAUUCUGAGUAUAAGGCACCCCCGAGGGUCUUUGCAGCCAAAGGCAAUCCUUCACACUUUUUCACAAUCUCUUUGCCAAUUUCUUGUAGUUCUGGAUGUAGACUAGAAUCUCCAUUUUCAAAUGCAUGUUUUGCAAAUAGGGACCAGCAGUCGUCAAAGGAUAACUGUCCCAAAUGAUGAAUACGGACUGAACGCAUGACUGAUGCAACCUUAUCACUACGUGUAGUUACAAUAAUCUUACUUCCAGGUAGGCCAACAGUGAAGGGAGUUUGUAGCCUAUCCCAAUUAUUAUAGUUUUCAUUCCAAACAUCAUCAAGGACAAGAAAGAAUUUCUUCCCGCUAAGUCUCUCCUUCAGUUUAAGUUGAAGCAGAUUCAAAUCAUUGUCAUCAGACGAAUUUUUAGAAGUCCCGGAAUCGAUUGCCUUAACAAUUGUUUUCGUUAUCCUGACAAGAUCAAAUUCGUCUGAAACACAAACCCAUGCUUUAAGGGCAAAGCAUUCCACCACUUUCCUAUCAUUAUAGACCACCUGAGCAAGUGUGGUCUUUCCAAUACCGCCCAUACCCACCAGGGCGAUCACACUUAUCUUAUUCCCACUUGCAUUAUGGGACAACAAAAAUUUAACUAUCUCCUCCUUAUCACCAUCCCUACCGCACACCCCAGACUCAUCUACCAAGGAAGUUGUCGGCCAUCUUUGUGAAAAUUUAUCUCCAACGCCUCUUUUCAACCCGAGAACAUCUUUUUUUUGUGCAAGAUAUUCUAGUGUGUCAGUGAUCUCCUCUACCCUGGACUCGAUCCCCUCACCAAAGAUGAUGUUUCGUACCUGAGUUUGAGAAUCAUACUCCAUCGUGCGUCGUAAAGCUUCAGUGGUGAUAUCAUCCACCAGGUCCUCCGCAUCAUACACUGCAUCUUUCAGCUCAUCGACCCAAUCUUUAACAGCUGAAUUCGUGAUUUGCUUGGCCUCGGCGUCAUUCAGCACUGCCUGAACUUCCAGCAAUUUCAUCUGCAACUUCCUUAGGAGCGUCUCACUGAGUUUCUGUCUCCGGAGGAAGGUGAGGACGUCGCGAGAAGCCAUCCGAUCAAAUAGAACUUGGAGAGAAGCCGAGAGAAGUGCUCCUCCUCCUGCUACAGACCCGGCCAUGUCUGUUGGUUUGCAAGGGAAGUGAAUACUGGAUCAGAGAAGAAUGAAAGAAAGCAGAUGCAAAGCAACGAGGAAGAGUUUGACCCUUAGAAGAAAGAGGUAGAUGAAGACGGUGGCCUAUCAACUAAUGCCAAAUGUACAGAUGAAUAUGGGUUGCAAUUUGGUCCCUGCCUUAUAAAUAAAUAAGAAAAUAUUCAUAAACCUUUUCAAUAUUUAAUUUCUAGGAUCCAUAAUCCACUUAGUAAACUCAACAACAGGCUUUUGGACCGAUAAUAAAAUUAUUGAUUUUAGGCUUUCUAGAUGCUUCAAAUGUUGAAAAGGUCUUCCCUUCAAUAGUGUAUAACAUUAAGAGACCUUUGAAUAGUUUAUGAUAUUGACAAAAUCACCCAUCUCAGUUGUAAAAUAUUGAAAAGAGACCCUUGAAUGUCUGCCACAAAAAUUAUAUCAUGAAGUGUUUUCGAACUUUUUAAUACUUUAAAAAUUAUAUCAUUUUUAAGUGUUAGAAAUGCUAUGAAGGUUCUCUAAAAUUACUAUCAAACGCACUCUUAUUGGAUAAUAUGCAAUUUUCUUGAUGAGAUUGGCCUACCUUGGGAAAAGAGAGGCAUCUCUCCUACUUCCAAAAAAAGAGAAGAAAAAAACAGAAUGAAAAAGUGUGAAUUUCCACACUUUUCCUAAAUUAUAUUAAUAUCAAAAUAAAUGAUUUAUUAAGAUUUUUUUAUUAAAAAAAUUAGAUAAAUAAAAAAAUCCUCGCUAAAGGCACUAGAUAAAUUAAAUUUUAUCCAACUCUAGCUAUAAUAUAAAUUCUUAUGCCAAUGUAUAUAUGCUUGUCAUAUAUAUCUUUAUCUAUUUUUUUAAUAGAAAAUCUUACUUGAAUAGCCUAGUUAUUUGAUAUUUGAACAUAAUAUUAGGUUGACAUUGCUUUAGAAAAGACUUGGUUGUUAUAUUGAGACUCAAAUGUUAUAAUUUACUUCAUUUUUUUUUUUUCCUUUUUACUAGAAAGAGUAAAACAUAAAAGCAAAAGUGAAAAAGAAAUGCUAGAGGAGUGCACUUUAUUUAUAUAUUUUUAAAACUGAAGUUGAAACAUAAAGCAAAAAAAGAAACAAAAAAAUAAAAGGGUGGGGAGUAUUGCCACGCUGCUCCUGUCAUUUAUUCGAUUUUUGAUAAUUUUAUAGUAAAUAAAAAAUCAUUUAUAAAAGGUGGUAGUUUUAAAACUAUUGACAACAUUAUACUCCUUUAUAUCAUAUAAGCUUACCAAAACCAUUAUAUCACAACUUAUCUUAAAAUCGUGUCUUGAAGAUAUGAUGUCAAUACAUUAUCUUAAAAUCGUGUUUUCAGGACAUGAUUUUAAUGUAAUAUUUUGAAAUUAUUUCUUGAAGAUAGGAUUCAGUGUAUUAUCAAGAAAUCGUGAAUUUAAGAUUUUUUUUCUUUUAUCUAAUUUUUAUAAUAUAUAUUUUUUAUAUAAAUUACUUUAUUUCUUUUUCAUGUUUUUUUUAAUUGUUUUUUCUAUCUUUAUUGAAAUCAUAUAUUAUUAUUACUAUUAUAUUAUUUUUUAUUUUAAUGCAUUACCAUUACAUUAAAAUUGUAUUUUCAAAUCACAACUUCAACAAAAUAUACUUCAAAUGCACUAAAAUCCUGCCUUUAAAUCACAGUUUUAGCAAAAUACAAUAAAAAUAUGUGAGGAGUCUUAGUGUCAUAAAUUGUCAUAGAUUUAAAAACAUUUUUGAAAGUUUUAUGUUUUGAAAAUUAUUUUUUAAAAUUAUGGUAUUUUAAAAAAAAACCUUGUCAUUUACCUAUGAUGUCACUCUUCAAUAGAGCAAAAAGGAAAGGAAAAGGGAACACACACCUUAAUUGAGUCAACUCAUGCCGUUGGGACAAUCCAAAGUUUUAGUUGAAGUAAUUUUAGUGAUCACCAUGUAAAAAUAACUUGAGCAAAGCAUAUAACAAAGAAGCAAUUUCUGUGUGAAUAAAAAUAAAUUCAUUUCUAUGCAAGAUCAGAAAGUUCAACAAGGGACUAGAAGAUAAUAACACAUUUCUCAAACAACCAAAUUGGAGUCUCGCUCAGUAUAAAACUUAAGCAAUGGCAAAUCUUCGUCAUGGGACUUCUCCAAAGAUUCAAAAUAUUAAUAACACAUUAUGUUUUAGGGAAUAUAAUGUUUUAGGAAUUAGAUACAUUCAUGGUUUAAUAUAAUGUUUUCAUAAUUGGAUUGGUCAUUAAAUAAAAAAAAUUAUCGAUUUAUGAUUUAUUAGUUAGAUUGAUAGUUCAACCACAAUCAAAUUAUGUUGAUAUCAUAAUAUAAAAUUUUAAAAUAAUUACUAAAUUUUUUUAUGUUUAUUUAAUAGUAUAAAUAUAUAAUAUUUAUGAUUUACUAUUUAAAAGAUAUAUUAUAGCAUAAAAUCAAAUUUUAUUCAAUAUAUUAUACCAUUCUAUCAUCUUAAAAAAUAUUAAAUUUGUAUUAUUACAUAAAUAUUUAUAUUUAUUUCAAUUUUUUUUUAAAAUAACAUAUGAAUAUACAUUCAAAAUAAUUGUUUAUGUCAUUCUUUACCACUCUUCUCCUAUCAAAAUUUUCUUAUGAAAAAAAAGAAAAAGAAAAAGAGAGGAGUUUUGGUUCAUUUUCAACACCCUUUUCAUAGAAAAAUAUAAAAAGAUAAUUUUUAAACCACAAUGGAAGUUUUUAGAUUCUUUUAGUUUAGUUUUUUAUAUUAUAAUUUAAUAAUUUAAACUUUUGAAUCAAUUGAUAACUUAACACAUGACAAAUCUUAGUGGAUUUAGAGUAUGAGUUUAUCUUAAUUGCUGAUUCUAGGUUAAUUUGUUGCAGCCAAAUCCCAACUUAGAAUAAUAACUAAAGACAAAUUUCAUAAAAAUAAUGUGGUGAUCGAGUGUUAAACCUUAAGAAAUUUCAACUUAGAAUAAUGAUUAAAGGCUAAUUUCAUAAAAGUAAUGUGAUGAGUGUUAAACGUUAAGGGGGCUUUAGUUGCAUCAGGAAUUACAUUUGAUUGAAAUCAAUGUCCUUUGGGAAUUUUUUCUAACAAUGAUAUUGUAGACCCCCACUUUGGGAGGUAAUUGUUGUGGCAAAUUUUGCCAGGUGGAGCAACUUUAGGAGGCCGCGUGGUGCCUCUUGACAGGCUGCUGAAGGAUCAAGUAGUGGAUUUGAGAGGCAAACCAGGUGGUGACACCUGUAAAGUGAUUCUUCAGGCAGUUAUGAGAUAUUUUUGAGGACUGCCAGCUGCAUGGAGGUUAGAGGAGCAGAGGCUGCCAGCUGCAUGGGGGUAGUGGAGGCUUGCGGCUGCAGGAAAGAGGUGCUUUUCAGAGCUGGUGAGGAUACCAGAGAGAGGGGGGUUUUUGAGAGGGAAAAAGGAGAAGAGAGUGAGGGUAUUCCGGGAUUUGAGGCGGCGACGGAGGGAAGGCUUAGAGGAGAUUAGCUAGAAAAGAAGGGAGCUUGAAGGAGAAAACGAGAGGGGUCUGAAAAGAGUGAGCAGAAAGCAAGUGGUAUUAUCCUCGGUUGAGGACUCAGGUAUGGCCAUGAUGGGCACUUUCACUCUGUAUUUUUUUUGUUGUUUUUCUGUUUUUCCUCGUUUGAUAUCAUCGAUCUGAGGCAUGGCUGGAUGGAUUUUGUUCAUAUAUUUGAUUUGCUUUGUCUUUUCUCUGGUUUCUCUGUUUCUUUCUCAAAUAACUGGGGUAUGGUUUGCUUUCUUUGAGUUUGAUGUUUGCUCAAAUAUCUAAAAGCUUACUUCUCGUUCCACCAACUGACAUUUCGUUCAUCACUCAUGAAACGAAAUAGUGCUUGAUAAUUUCUUGAGUCUCUCAUCUUUACUCUGUUUUAGCUAUUUCAUCCCUUAUACUUUUAUGCUCGCGUAUGCUUAGCUAUGAAAAUGCUUUGGACUGUGUAUCAUCCUUUGAGAAAACUUUGGCUGCUCCUAAUCUGGAGGAUGGUGGUCACUCGAAUUUAUUUGGGCUGCAAAUAAGGGUUUUGGUUGGCAUGGUCAUUGAUUUUCCUAUGAGCCCGUGUCCAGGACUGUGAGAGAUGAGAUUUGGGUCUGUCUACAAACUCCUACAAGGGAAAGAGUGAAGGAAAACGAACUUGAGAAAGAAAUAGAGCGAGCAAAGCUAUCCUCGAACGACGCCGGCGGCAAAGCCGCCGGCGGCGAAACGCCUCCACCAUCACCAGAACGCCAAACAACCAUUGAAGCUCUUUCACUUUCCUUCUCCUCUGAUGACCUCUGCAGCAUAUGCCUUGAUAGAGGAGAACCAUGAUGUAUUCUGGAGCUUCUUGGGUUUUAUGAGGAGAGCUCGGAGUAUAUUCAUGUUGACGGAAGGAAGGUAUUCAUUUGGAUAACAGAUUUAAUGGGACAAGUGAUCUAUGGGACGUAAUGAACUCCUCUACCGGCGUUUAUUUUCCCGUGGGCGCCGGAACUGCAUCUUCGUCAGUUGGAGGCCUCGACAAUUGACCUGAACGAAUACGACUGCGAGAGUGAGGGAUGUCUUGAAGCAUUGGUAGGAGAGGUGGCGGCAAAGGCAGCUCCUCUGCGAAGUUCAUCGAAGAGAAGCAGGGCUGCCGAGGUCCAUAAUUCGUCUGAAAAGAGGAGUGAUGGCGGCGGUGGCCGAGGCUGCUGUAGCGUCGACAUAAGUAGCAGCGAAGAUGGGGAAGCCUUGGACGGGUUCUCUACCAGAAGCCGCAGAGGCAUUUCGGUGCUGAAAAGGACACGUCAGAAUGCAGAUCUUGAUCUCGAUUCCGACGAUGACAUUGGCUGCUGCUUCUGUCAACACAACCACAAAGCUUCUGUCAAUGAAUAAUGGUUUGGUUGAUGGAGUUAUCUCAUGAGUUGGCACAAAAUUGUGACCGUUCAACCCUUGAGCAUAUUCUUGCUAUGUUUCCAAGUGCGUCACUCAUUGGGAAUGACCCAUGUGUGCAUAGGGUGGCUGUUCCAGUUGGCUCUAUGCUUGCUGCACCAGGAACUCCACGCAGACCAGUGAAUGGCCAACUGCAAGCCCAAAACCAAGGUCCCCACCUCCAACAGAGUAGAUCAGAAGAAAUGGUCUUGGCGAAACCAUUGACUUGACUGAAAUAUUGCGAAUGAAGUCACAAGAAUUGGUUCCUAGGAUUUGUGGAGAAGUUCUUGGAUACCGAUGUGGACAUCUCGGCAUCAUCCGAUGAUGGUCAGAUAACAGGGCUCCACUAGGGCAGAACACGAUUAUUCUCUGGGGUCCUGAGAAUUCUAGCGAAGCAGUAAAACACUUUGAGAAAGCUCCUGAUUGUGCCACACAGCCAUACCAAACUUUAUGUGCGGUCAAAGGUAUGUAAGUUUGAAAGAACAAGGGGUUAAGCUAGAGCAGGGGCUUCAGAUGCUCCAAGUCUUUAAGGAACACUCCAUCAAUACAUGUGUCUUGGAAGAUUUUGCAUUUUAUGAGUCUCGCCAGAAAACAAUUCAGAGGAAAAAGGCUAAACAGCAGUAGUUUCAGAAGUAGGUAUGAAAAGAGAAACGACAGAAUGAGCACCCCUUCAGAAUGGCUCCAUCCCUGCUGCAUGGCUUGCAUGGCCAUUUUGGGCAUGCAACUUUAGGUUGCGUGUCUUUCCUCAUUUUUUUUUCAUUAUCAUUAUUUUCUCAUUUCAGAGUUUUAAAAUAAUUCCUUGCAUUCCCAUUUUUUAUAUAAUUCCCCGGAUUCUAGUUUUCUUUCUAAUUUUCCAAAUUCCAUUUUUAUCAAAGGAUUUAUUUUAUUUAUCUUUAAUUUUCAUCUUUAGGUUUUUCUUUUAGAAUCAUUCAAAAUCUCAUUUCCAAUAAAAUUUGCCGCCAAUUUUCUUCGGCAUGCAAUUUUUACAACUUCCAUGAAUUUUUAAAAAUAUUUUAAAAUGCUUUGAAAUAAGUAAGAAUUAAAUUCCGUAAUUCCAAUUAAUGGAACUUAUGAAAUUAAUUCAUGCAAUAUAAAACGGGCUUUGGUGGGGGCCCCACAUAUGUGAAUUGACGAUUGAUUGAUUGUUUGAUUGAUUUACUUAUCGUGCGUGUUUGAUUUAUUUUGUUCCAUGAUAUGCGCUUAAUUAUAUCUUGUUCAUUGCUCACUAACCCUGUUUCAUGAUAGCGCAUUCAAGAUUGCCGCCCAGGUACGCAUCUAUUCGUAUUUUGCUCAUUCUUUAUACAUGAUUUGCUUCUCAUAUUGUGCAUGAUCGAUUUGAGUAUUCAUCGAUUCCCUCAUUGAUUGCCACGUCAGCUUCAGUCUAUUAGUAGAGACCCGACUUUAGGGACUUAGAGGGGUGCUACGGUCUUUACCGUACCUUCCCGAUAAGUAACCUGACCCCCGAACCCUAUCCGGUUUUUCACAGACCGCCUUUUCCAAAAUAAGGAGUCACACUUAGGGUUUUUUUUUCUUAUUUUGUUUACCCUUUAAAAAUAAAACAAAAAUAAGUGGCGACUCCAAGUCAUUUUUUUUCUUAAUCAAUAAAAAUCAAAUUUUUAAAAAAAUAAAAAUCGAGCUCACUAUCGAGUGGGAAACGCAUUCGAGCAUGAGUCGAAAUGCGGGGUCCACAGAUAUGUUAUUUGUCGAUAGAGUCAAUUAUAACUCCUAAAGCACUUGAGUUACCUGAUCUUAUAAAGACUUGAAGUUAUUAUUAAUAAGCUUAAUAUUGAUUUUCUUAAUAUUUGAAUGAAGAUUGAUGAUUCGAUUAUCGGUUUGACCAUAUAUUUAAUUGAAGGAUGUGUUUUCUUGGGUGAUUAGCAUGUUAAACUAACUGUAAAUUAGUUUAAAAGUGGUUAAUAAUAGUGGAAUUUCUCUGUAAUAGCAAUAGCACUUAAGCUGACAGAUUAUUUAGCUAUAAAUUAGUUUAAAUGUGUUUGACAAUAGUGAAUUUUUUUUGUAACAACAGUUGCACUUAAGUUGGCAGAUUAUUCAAUUGCUUGCUUAAUUUUUGUGUGAUUGGAAGUUCAACCAUUCUUCUUUAUCUUACUUGGCUAAUAUGGAAGUCAUUUGUCAUCUCUAGAUUUAAUUAAAAGGGGUUGGAACAGGUGUGAGGAGAGGGUGAGUUCAAGACACUUCGAAUGACAAGUUGUAUGACAUGUGGUAGUAGUUAGAGAUGGGUAAGUUGCUAGCCAGAAGAUUUAAUUUUAAUAGGUUGUAUUAACUGACAAAAAAAAUUCUAAAAACUGAGAGCUACUCUUGAAAGUGAAAAAACCAAAGGAGACAAAAACAAAAAACUGAGAAAUUAAAUGAGUAGAGAAGUUGCUAUUGAAAACUCUAAUUUUUCUUUUUAUGGAUUUGAAAAUUAAAUUGUUUAUUGAUAUUUUGGUUAAUGUUUUGAGGUGUGAAAUUAAUUAACAUGUUGAAUUAUGGAUGUGCGCAGAAAUUCUAAGCAUAUAUAAUGACUAAAUGCAAAGUAUGUUGAUUGAAAUGUUAAGAAUUUAUUGCUCGUUAUUGUGAUAUAAUUUGUUAUGUGUAAUAGGCUUUGUUUUGCUGGAAACUAACUUGGAUAUGUAGUAUGAGAAACAUGAAGAAUGUUGAAGGCAUUAUGAAUUCAAAAUCAUGGCACCAUGAUAGGUUUACAUUAUGGAAAAUAAUGGGAGAAAUGGUCCCUGGAUGAGUGUCCCUAAAAGAAGGAUAAAGUACCAUAAGGUGAAAGACCCAAGACAUACCUUGAGAAGAUCCACGAGGGGAUAGAAUAGCGGGUAUAAAUAUAUGUCCUUGAAUAAGAGUUCUUAAAAUAUAGAUAUUCAUGAUUGAAAACAAAGAAAAUGCUAGUUGCUGAGGUACAUGAAAGUCUCAUGAAAGGUAUAUGAUAAGUUGAAAAUGAUUUGGUGUGAAAAUGUUAUAUAUACACCUUCAGGUUGGUCCAAAAAUCAGUUUAAAGAAAAUAAUGAUGAUAGCUUAGCAGAGAAGUGUAUUUAUAACUAAAAGGUUUAUUCAACAAUCAUUUAAUAUUUGUUUUAACACAAUAGAAUUCAUUUGGAAAUAUGAAAUUUCACUAAUAUAUAUAUAUCUUGAGAAUUAUUUUAUGAAGUUCGAAAAUAUUUUGUAACUAUGGUUAUUGUGGAUUUCUAAUGUAUUUGGAAUGCUCUUUGCUAGUUAGUUGUUGUACAUGAAAGGAAUAGAGAAUCAUGCUCAUAACUCUAUAAAAAUAACUGUUUCCUAAAAGAACUUGAUGAAGGUUUUUUUUUUUGGAUAUGUACAAAUUUGAUCUUGAUUAUAAAUCUAAGUUUUUAGUUGUAAAUAAGUUUUUAAAGUUUAAAAUUAUUCAUUAGAGUUUAGAAAUGAUUUUCAAAUAUUUUGGCAUAAAAAAAUGAAGAAAAUAAGAAAAAUGGGAAACUUCUAAGGUAUGACAGAAGUGCUGAUUACAACAAGUUGAGCUCUGAUAAGUAAAGGAACAACAUGCUAAAGUGAUCAAGAUUUUUCUAUCUGAAGGUGCACAAGAUUUAUUUAAAGGGUGAGGUGUGCAACUUAAGUGGUGGUUCACAAGAUUUGUUUAAAGCAUAAGAUGCACAACUUAAGUAGUAGUGUGCAAAAUGCGUUUAAAAGGUAAGGUGUGCAAGACUUAUGUUAAAGUGAAUACUGUGCAACAAAAAUGGUGCAUCUCUUAGUGCAGUUGGUGUUCGUCUCAACUUACUCAACCAUCUUGACUUUAACACCUCAACAAAGUCGUAUACUCAACAUUAUAUUUACGUUAUGUCAACUUCAUAUAUUAUUUUUUCAUUUAUAUCUCCAUUUACUUUAAGUUUGCAAUGUAAGUAACAAAAUACCCUCAAUUUUGAAUUUAAUAAAAAUACUUUGAAAACCUAAUUCCAAGUAAAUCAAAAUAUGAUUUUUAAAUUUUAGUUAUAAAUUGAUAGUUUUUAUUAAAUUUCUUAGGAAAAAAAAAAAGUUUGCCGAAGUAAAAUUAUCAAAGAUAAAAAUCUAGAAAUAUUAUUUUGAGUAUUACUAACAUGAAAAUAACAAAAUCCGUCACUUUUUAUCUUCAAUUAUGAAAAUUUUAAAAAUGAAUUAUUUCACAUACUAGGUGGAAUUUCUAAUAAAACAUGUAGUAUGUAUUUGAAAACUCCCCAUCCAUUGGACCACAUAUCUAUAUUAAAAAAAAAAAAAAAGAGGAAAAGUUCAUUAGGCAAGUUACAUUAAGUUGACAAUUUAGUUUCAUUCAUCUUGGUUUAAGACUUUUCAUUCUUACCUAUGAUUUGCAUUCUUUUGAGAUUGAGGUUGCUACAAAAUCAACUUGAGAUUAAACAUGUAUGGUUGAGUUAUUUGAGAAUAAUGACAUAAAAGAUAUAUAAUAGACUUAUGAAAAUUAGAAAUACAAUUAAUUUGGAAAAAUUUAAAAAGAAAAAUCUUUCCAAAUAAUAAAAAUAAUUUGGAAAGGAAUUUAAAUUGAGAAUUUAAAAAAGAAAAUCUUUCCAAAUCUUUAAAGGAAUUUGGAAAAGAAUUUUAAAUUAAGAAUGUUAAAGGAAAAUCUUUCCAAAUAUUUUUUUAAUUUAAAAUAUGCAAUAUUUCCAAAUCUUUUUAAAAUUCUGAAGUUUCUAAAUUGUUUUUGCUAAAAUAUGACUUUUAAAUUGAUUCUAAGUCCACUUGAUUUUAUAUAUAUGCCUAUUGUGAGAGUUUUUUGAAAAGUGAAUGAAACUAAACUUUAAGUCAUUAGUUUUUACGUUUAACCCAAAACUCUCGGAUAUGCUUGGCUUUCCAUUUGUUGGGUUGUAAAGGAGAUCUACAUCUCCUUAGGCCCAGAGAUAAGAUCCAUUGGAGCACAUGAGGUGCUGCAUCACAGGCGUGGAUUAUAGUAUAAGUCUUAGAGAGUAAAUCUAAGGGUAGUAUCUGCUAAAUAAUUCUAUGUACUACUUUCUCAUAUAGUAGAUUGUUGAUUCGAGGUCCUGACCCCAUGGUUUUUACAUCUGCAUGUCGUGUGGGUGGUUUCCACGUAAAUACUAUGUGUUUGUGUGGAAUGUCUUUAAGCUUUCCUAAAUUGAAAAAUGGUUGUCACAUAAUUAAAAAAAAUUAAUUUUUUGGACCAAAAAGUUUAAACACUUAUUCAUCCUACUAGGUAUUUCAUAAGCAAGAUUUACAAACUUUCAACUAUUAUUACUUAAAAUAAUUAAUAUGUAAUAAUAAAUAAAUAAGUAUUUAAAAAAAAACUUCUACUUGUUACAUGUACAAUAGAACUAGAAUUUUUUAACAUGAAAAAUAAAAGAUUAGCAUUUUAUAUGACAAACAUUAUAGCAUAUCAUUAAUUCACAUUUCAAAUCAUGGAUUAAUCCUUGAAUAUUAUAAUUAAACCAUAAUUUUAGAAUUUGGGAUGUGACAAACCUCUUAGUUGCUUUUAGUCAUAAUACUUAUGGAAAAAAUAAAGCAAGGUGUUGGUAAAAAAUUAGGUCUCAAAUAAUGGGAUAAGGAAGUUGGCCAAGCCCAAAACAAACAAACAAACAGCGAUAGGAAAAGUGAGAGAUGACACUUAUAGAAUUAGGCUGAGGCAUGAUAAUCAUUGUUCUUAAAGUAGAUCUACCCUCUUUGGGUAUCAAAAUGCAGUGCAAAAGGGAACCGACAACCUACCUCCAAGAUUCAACAACCAAAAAACUUUGCUUUUGGUGCACACUUUGAGCAAGUAGUAAUGUAGCUCAAACUGAUAUUCCUUUAGACGAAAUGAUGAAGAGAACGUUUGUUUGUUUGUUUUUUUUUAAUAAAACUAGUAGUGUUCGGGUAGGGUGCCUUCAUUAAGAAAAUUGCAUCGAGAAACUGAGGUUGCAAUUCCAGAAUGAGAGAGAGAGGAGUAGUGUCUAAAUAAGAUGACAAUUGGGAGAGAGAUGUACUAGUAAAUAGGUGUGAAACACUGAGGAGGAGAAGCCUAUUUAUAGGUAGUCUCUCCAGGAGAACAAUCAAAUUAAAGGCUAAAUGACUCUAGAACUAAAACCCAAAUAAAACCCCAUUUAAACCAGAUAAUAAACUCAUAAUGGAAGGGAAUUGAAGAUCAUUUGACCAAAUUUGAAAACAAAAAUUAAAAAUCCAAUAGAAGAAUUCAAAAUUUCAAACUCAAAAUAAAAUUAAAAAUUAAAAAUAGAAAAUUUUAGUUUUCAAAAUGUAAAAAGUCAUUAGACUCAUGCGUGUACGUGGGAAAGGGGUGGGGGGGCAUGCAGGAUGUGUGUACGGACAUGUCAUGCAUUAAGGAUUUUUCGACCCAAGCCACCCGAAUUCCCUUUCGAAUUGGCUUGGACACCCUAGGCACGCGAGACCCCCUUUUGCCUCUCCACAAGCUCAUGAGGUUAAGAAAGGUAAGUUGCUAGCAAGAAUAUAUAAUUUUAAUAGGUUGUAUCAACUGAUAAAAAAAAUUCUAAAAACUGAGAACUAUUCUUGAAAGUGAAAAAACCAAAGGAGAUGAAAUGAAAAACUGAGAAAUAAAAUAGGUACAAAAGUUGCUAUUGAAAACUCUAAUUUUUCUUUUUAUGGAUUUGAAAAUUAAAUUGUUUAUUGAUAUUUUGGUUGAUAUUUUAAGGUGUGAAAUUAAUUAACAUGUUGAAUUAUGGAUGUGUGAGGAAAUUCUAAGCAUAUAUAAUGACUGAAUGCAAAGUAUGUUGAUUGAAAUGCUAAGAAUUUAUAGCUCAUGAUUGUGAUAUACUUUGUUAUGUGUAAUAGGCUUUGUUUUGCUGGAAACUAACUUGGAUAUGCAGUAUGAGCAACAUGAAGAAUGUUGAAGGCAUUAUGAAUUUAAAAUCAUGGCACCAUGAUAGGUUUACCUUAUGGAAAAUAAUGAGAGAAAUGGUCCCUGGAUGAGUGUCCUUAAAAGAAGAAGGAUAAAAUACUAUAAUGUGAAAGACCCAAGACAUACCUUAAGAAUAUCCAUGGGGGGAUAGAAUAGCGGGUAUAAAUGUAUGUCCUUGAAUAACAGUCCCUAAAAUAUAGAUAUUCAUGGUUGAAAACAAAAUGCUAAUUGUUGAGGUACAUGAAGGUAUAUAAUAAGUUGAAAAUGACUUAGUGUGGAAAUGCUAUAUAUACACCUUUAGAGAAAAAAAUGAGUGACAGCUCAGUAGAGAAAAGUUUAUUUAUAACUAAAAGGUUUAUAAAAUAAUUAUUUAAUACUUGUUUAUAGUAACACAAUAGAAUUCAUUUGGAAAAAUGAAAUUUCACCAAUAUACACACCCACACCCCACACACACACAAUAUUUUGUAACUAUUGUUACUAUCGAUUUCUAAUGUAUUUGGAGUGCUUUAUGCUAGUUAGUUGUACAUGAAAGGAACAAAGAAUUAUACUCAUAACUCUAUAAAAAUAACUAUUGCUUAAAGGAACCCAAUUAAUGUUCAUCUUUUUUGGAUAUGUAUAUAUUUAUCUUGAUUAUAAAUAUAAGUUUUUAGUUGUAAAUAAGUUUUUAAAGUUUAAAAUUAUUCAAUAAGGGUUUAGAAAUGAUUUUUAGAUAUUUUCAAUGCACAAAAAAUGGAGAAAAUAUGAAAAAUGGGAAACAUCUAAGGUAUAAUAGAGGCGCUAAUUGCAACAAGUUGAGGUGUGACAAAUAAAGGAACAACAGGUUGAAGUGCACAAGAUUUUUCUAUCUUAAGGUGUGCAAGAUUUAUUUAAAGGAUAAGUUGUGCAACUUAAGUGAUGGUGCAUAGGAUUUGUUUAAAGGGUGAGAUGCACAAAUUAACUAGUGGUGUCCAGAAUAUGUUUAAAAGGUAAGGUGUGCUAAACUUGUUUUAAAGUGCACAACAUGCAACAAAAAUGGUGCACCUCUUAGUGUAGUUGGCGUACCUCUCAACUCAACCACACUGACUCUAGCACCUCAACAUAGUUAUAUCCUCAACAUUACAUUUACGUUAUGCCAACUUUAUUUUUUAUUUUGUCAUUUAUAUCUGCAUUUACUUUAAGUUUACAAUGUAAAUAACAAAAUACCUUCCAUUUUGAAUUUAAUAAAAAUACUUUGAAAACCUAAUUCCAAGUAAAUCAAAACCUAAUUUUUCAAUUUUUGUUAUAAAUUGACAGCUUUUACUGAUUUUUCUUAGAAAAAAAAAGUUCACCUAAGUAAAAUUAUCAAAGAUAAAAAUAUAGAAAAGUUAUUUUGAGUAUUACCAACACGAAAAUAACAAUAUCUGCCAUUUUUUUUGUAUUAAGUUAUGAAAUUUUGAAAAAUUAACUAUUUCACAUACUUAGUGAAAUUUCUAAUAAAACAUGUAGUAUGUAUUUGAAAACUCUCCAUCCAUAGGCCCAUAUUAUCUAUAUUUAAAAAAAUUUAAAUAGGAAAAGUGCAUUAGGCUAUUUAGAUUAAGUUGACAAUUUUGUUUCAUCCAUCCUAGUUUGAGACUUCGUGUACUUUCCCAUGAUUUUUAUUCCUUUGAAGAUUCUAGGUUGCCAAAAAAAUCAACUUGAGACUAAACAUGUAAGUGUGGUUGUGUCAUUUGAGAAUAAUGACAUAGAAGACAUAGAAUGGACUUAUGAAAAUUAGAAAUAAAAUUAAUUUGGAAAGAAUUUAAAUUGAGAAUUUAAAAAGAAAAGUCUUUCUAAAUAAUAAAAAUAAUUUAAAAAGGAAUUUUAAAUUAAGGAUUUAAAAUUGAGAAUUAAAAAAAAAUUCAAAUAAUAAAAAUAAUUUGGAAAUAAAUUUUAAAUUGAGAAUUUUAAAAAGAGAAUCUUUCCAAAUCUUUUAAGGAAUUUGGAAAAGAAUUUUAAAAGGAAAAUCUUUCCAAUUAUUUUUUAAUUUAAAAUAUGAAAUCUUUCCAAACCUUUUUAAAAUUUUUAAGUUUCUAAAUUAUUUUUGUUAAAAUAUGACUUUUAAAUUUAUUCUAAGUCCACUAGAUUUUAUAUAUGCCUAUUGUGAGAGUUUUUUGAAAAGUGAAUGAACCUAAACUUUUAAUUCAUUAGUCCUUGCGCUUAACCCAAAACUCUCAAAUAAGCUUGGCUUUCCAUUUGUUGGGUUAUAAAGGAGAUCUAUAUCCCCUCAUGCGUUGAGGAGAGAUCCAUUGGAGGACACGAGGUGCUGCAUCAUAGACAUGGAUUGUAGUAUAGGUUUUGCAGAGUAAAUCUAAGGGUAGUAUAUAAUUCUAUGUACUACUUUCUCAUAUAGUAGAUUGUUGAUUCGAGGUCUUGACCUCGUGGUUUUUACAUCUGCAUGUUGUGUGAGUGGUUUUCCAUGUAAAAAUCCUAUGUGUCUUAUGUUGAAUGCCUUUAAGAUUUCCUAAAUUGAAAAGUGAUUAUCACAAAAUUAAAAAAUAAUUAAUUUUUUGGACCAAAAAGUUUAAACACUUAUUCAUCCCUGCUAGGUAUUUCAUAAGCAAGAGCUACAAACUUUCAACUAUUGCUACUUAAAAUAAUUAAAUGUAAGGAUAAACAAAUAAGUAUUUGAAAAAAAAACUUCUACUUGUUACAUGUACAAUAGAACUAGAAUUUUUUAACAUGAAAACCAAAAGAUUAGCAUUUUAUAUUACAAACAUUAUAGCAUAUUCAUUAAUUCACAUUUCAAAUCAUGGAAUUAUGGGUUAAUCCUUUAAUAUUAUAAUGAAACCAUAAUUUUAGAAUUUGGGGUGUGACAUACCUCUUUGUUGCUUUUGGUCAUAAUACUUAUAGAAAAAAUAGAGCAAGGUGUUGGUUAAAAAUUAGGUCUCAAAGAAUAGGAUAAGGAAGUUGACUAAGCACAAAAUAAACAAACAAAUAUGAGAAAAGUGAGAGAGGACACCUAUCGAAUUAGGUUGAGGCGUGAUAAUCAUUGUCUUUAAAGUAGAUUCACCUUCCUCAGGUAUCAAAACGCGAUGCAAAAGGGAGUCGACAACCUACCUCCAGGAUUCAACAGACCUUGCUUUCAGUGCACAUCUUCAACAAGUAGUAGUACAACUCAAAUUGAUAUUCCUUCAGACGAAAUGAUGAAAAGAAUGUUUGUUUGUUUUUUAAAAUAAAACCAGUUGUGUUUAGGUAGGGUGCCUUCUUUAAGAAAAGUACACUGAGAAACUGAGGUUAUAGUGGUAGAAUGAGAGAGAGAGAGAUUCAGGAGUAGUGGUUGAAUAAGAGAGCAAUCAGGAAAGAGAUGUAUUCGCAAAUAGGUGUAUAAUGUUAAGGAGAAGAAGCCCAUUUAUAGGCAGUCUCUCUAGGAGAACAGUUAAGGGCCUUAAAGGCUAAAAGGCUAUAAGCCUUAAAAAGCAAAAUGACUAUAAGCCAUAAAAGUCAAAUGACUCCAAAAUUAAAACCCAAAUAAAAACCAUUUAAACUAGAUAAUAAACUUAGAAUGGAAAGGAAUAAAAUCUCAUUUGACCUGAUUUGAAAACCAAAAUUAAAAACCCAAUGGAAGAAUGCAAAAUUAAUUUUUCGAUUACCAAUUCCAAACUCAAAAUUGAAUUCAAAAUUUAAAAUAAAAAUUCUAGUUCUCAAAAUGUAAAAAGUCGUUGGACUCGCGUGCAUAUGCAAGGGGUCUCCUACAAGAUGUGUGUGUGUGGACAUAUUGGGCUUUAAGGGGUUUUCGGCCUAAGCCAUCCAAAUUCCCUUUUAAAUGGGCUUGGACCCCCUAGGCAGGCAAAAUCCUUUCUUGUCUCUCUACAAGCUCAUGAGACUAAGGAAGGUGGGCUAGUAUAAAUAACUACUAAAAGUGCUCAUCACUUUCCAAUGUGGGACUUUUUUUUUCACUUUAAAACACUUACACACACAAACACUCUACCAACAAUCCCCCACAAAGUGUAUGUGUGAAGAAGAAGAUGAUUGGAGGAAAACUAGAAUCCAAUGCAUCAAAACUAGUACCAACAGGCUAUGAACCAGCCUUAGGAUAAAUAAGUAUUAAAUUAUAGAAACUUGGUGAAAAUAAAUUUUUAUGAACCUGUAUUUCUUUAUGUAAUUCAAGGAGCCUACAAUCCACAUUGGUUUUUCAACUACGAGUUGUACAAAACAAGUCGAUGAAAAUAGGUCAUACGCCUUACUUAGAUAUUCAUAAGAGCUCUAGAGAACCUAUCUAAGUUCUCAAAGGAAGCAACCCCGCCUUCAUUGUCAGAUAGGUGAAUCCAUCAAGUGUUUUCUACAACUAAACACACUAUCCAUAAGGAAUAUGGUAUUCAUUAACUGUAAAUAUACUUAUCAUUAGACAUUGAUCUAUCUAGCUACAUUAUAGGGAUGGACUUUCAGAUAAAACUAAUAGAACAUCUCAGUCACAAAUGAUUUGUUAUUACCCAUAUGAACCUACUUCAUAGGGUCUCCAAUCUAAUCGGUUGGGUUUCCAUAACUCUUGACUUUUGUAUUAAGCAUAAGCCCUAAUCUCCUCGAAGUUUCCUCCAUGUUUCAAGCAACUACAACACAAUAUUGUGCCUUAGGCCUAUAUGCAUGUUCUUCCCAUUAAAUAUCUUACUCUUAGUCUUAGAUAUUGUAGCUUAGCUAUCACAACGCAUUGACAUAGAGGAUGUUGGUCUCAUCUAUAAAGAGAUAUUUGCAAAGAGGUUUAUGAGCCACUCAAUCUCAUAACUUGCCUUUUCUAAGGUAAUAAACUCAACCUUUAUGGUAGACCGAGUGAUGCAUGUUUGCUUGGCAAACUUCCAAGAAACUGUACCUCCUUCAAGGGUAAAGACAUACCCAUUAGUGGAUUUCAUCUCACUUGAAUCAAAGAUCUAAUUUGCAUCAUUAAAUCCUUCAAGGACACUUGGAAAUCCACUAUAGCACAUGUUAUAGUUAAUGGUUCCUCUUAAAUACUUAAGUUCUCUACGAACAAUAGUCUACUGGUCCUAAUUAGGACAUUGGGUGUACCGACUCAAUCUACUAACUGCAUAAGUGAUGUCAGAUUUGGUACAAUUCGUUAAGUAUAUUAGGUUCUCUAUGAUCUAAGCAUACUUAGUUUGGGCAAUACUAUGUUCUUUGUUCUUCUUUAGUUGUGAGCCGGAAUCAUAAGGGGUUAACAUUGGUUUAUAGUCAAAGUGUUCAAACAUCCUUAAGAUAUUAUCAACAUAAUGUUCUUAAGAUAGUUUAAGCCCAUUAGGUGUUCUAGUUAUGUUGAUUCCUAGAACCACCUUUGCCUUUCCUAGCUAGGUCUUUCAUGUCAAACUUGAACCUUAGGAAUUUCUUAGUCUCACAAACGACCUUUAGGCUAGUUCCAAAGAUCAACAUGUCAUCAACAUAUAGAUGAUGACACAUAUGUUAUCCUCAAAUUUGUUGUAAAUACAUUUAUCAGCAUCAUUAAUGGAAAAUCCAUUAGUUAAUAACAUAUGAUCAAACUUGUUGUGCCACUGUUUGAGUGCUUGUUUUAACCCAUGCUGUGAUUUCACUAGCCUACACACUUUUUCCUCCUUCCUUAGAACCAUGCAACCCUUGAGUUGGUCCCUAUAAAUUUCCUCUUCCAAUUCCCCAUUUAAGAACAUAGUCUUGACAUCCAUUCUAUGUAUCACUAGGUUAUGAAUGGAGACUAGAGCAAUUGACGCUCUAAUUAAGAAAAUUCUAGUCACGUGGACAAAAGUGUCAAAGUAAUCAAUAUAUCUCCUUUGUUUAAAGCCUUUGGCUACUAAACAUGGCUUAUACUUCUCUAUGGACCCAUCUUGUUUUAACUUUCUUUUAAAGAUUCACUUACAACCGAUAGUCUUUACACUAGGAGGUAAAUAUACUAGUUAUCAUGUACGGUUAUACAUAAUUGAUUCGAUCUCACUAUUAAUGGCCUUUUCCAGAAUGGUUCAUCAGUAGAAGUUAUAGCUUCUUUGUAGGAUCUAGGCUCCUCAUCUAUUAAGAAGGUGUAGAAACCAUCUCCAAAGUUUGUUUAUUUCCUUAUCUAUUUUACUCAUUCUAGGUUCAAUUUAGAAAACUUAUUAAACUCUACUCUAAGUGUUCUCUAGAUUUGUUCCCUACCACUAGGUUUCAUAGGAAAGAUGUUUUCAAAGAAAUCAACAUUCUUUGUUUCCAUUAUUGUGUUCACUUCUGCUAGGUUGUUUUCUGAUUUGAUAACCAGAAAUUUAUAUGUUGCACUAUUCUCAGCAUACCUUAUAAACAUUGUAUCAAAAGUUUUAGGACCUAGUUUUAGUUUAUUGGGUUUAAGAAAAAGAACUUUAGCCAAGCACCCCUAUACUUUCAAGUAUACAAUGUUAGGUGCAUAACCCUUCCAUAACUCAUAAGGUGUUUUACUGGUUUUCUUAUAAGGUAUCAUAUUUUGAAUAUGACACACAAAAAGGAUAGCUUCCCCUCAUAAAUUCAAGGGUGUUCCUGAGCUAACUAACAUUAAGUUCAUAAUUUCUUUUAGGGUUUUGUUUUUUUCUUUCUACUACUUCAUUUGACUUAGGGGAAUAAGCUAGAGUAAUUUCAUUAAUGAUCUUAUGAUCUUCAUAAAAAAAGUUAACGAGGUUGGACUCAUACUGUCUUCCCCUGUCACUUCUAAGCCUUUUAAUUUUCUUACUUUAUUUUCUACUUCAUUUUUGUACUUGAUGAAAGCAUUUCUUGCUUUAUCUUUGUUUCUCAAAAGAUAUACCUUUGUAUACCUUGAGUAGUCAUCUAUGAAAGUUAUGUAAAAAUGUUUACCACCUCUAGUCAUUGUACUUUUCAAAUCUCCUAAGUCAUUGUGACUUAAAUUUAAAAGUUCAAAUUCUCUUUUUAUAGAUUUGCAAAACUUCUUUGUGGUUUUAGAUUCUACACAUGCUUCACAUUUUCCAGGGUUUUUUAAGGACAAUUUAGAAAUUAAACCAUUUUCUUUAUAUACAAAAUGUUCACAUAUCCUAAUCUACCAUGCCAAAUAUCACAAGAAUCAACUAUGUAAACAGAAGAAGAAGAUGCAUUGUCAUUGAUAAUAUUGGAAACAUUCAACAUAAAUAAAUUAUGGUUAUAAUAGCCUUUCCCCACAAAAACAUCAUUCUUUAUUCAGACGAGUUUAUCAUAGUCAAACAUGAUCCUCACUCCUGUCUUCCCAUGCAAAAAUACUAAUCCUAAGUUCCAAUGAAUAUCUGGCACAUGAAGGACAUCACUAGAGGUGAGCACUUUGCCCAAGGUUAGCUUAAGGAGAAUCUUCCCUUUCCCAAUCAUCGAGGACAUUCAAGAAUCGCCUAUGAACACUUGUUGCUCUCCUUCUUUUACAAUGGUAUAAGAAGUUAAUGUACUUUUAUUUCCACAUAUGUGCUUGGUAGCCCUAGAGUCUACCACCUAGUCCUUCACACUGGUGACCAUGCUCACCUCAGAGGAGAUUGCAACAAUGAUUACCUCUAUCUUUAUCAGAUUUGCUUUAGGGUUGAAUUUAUCAGUUUUCUUCCUAUGGCGACAUUAAGCUACAUGAUGGCCAGGUUUGCCAUAGACAAAGCAGUUACCUUUUUUUUUUUUAUUGUUGGGUUAUGGACCUUGUUUUUUAAAUUAGGCUUGGUCUUUCAAUUUUGCUUUCUGGACCUAUUGUUUUUGGGUUUAGGUUUAUCUUCUACCACAUUAGCCUUGGAAGAUAGUUCUUUGGCUUUUUCAGCUUUAUCCCUGUUUUUGUUAUGUUUCUCAAUCCUAAUAUGGAUUAUGACAUUUUCAAAGGACAUUUUUUUUUUGUGCUUCAUAUUACUUUUAUAGUUUUUAAAAAAAUCUAGAAGAGUCUCAAUCAAGUAUCUAGCCACAGAAAGGUUUAGGCAAUUUAAGGUCUUUAUUAGCAAGGUCAUUUAUAAGUAAGUGGUAGCCAUGGAUUUGAGAUGAAACAUCUUUAUCCUUCGUCAUUUGGAAUUUUUCUAAAAUUCCUUACAACAUAUUUUGGGUGUGAACUAGGGAGGUCUCCAUUCUUUUUAAAAAACAGUUUACUUUAAGAUUGUUGGUAAAAAUUAGGUCUCAAAAAUGGGAUAAGGAAGUUGACCAAGCCUAAAACAAACAAAUAGAGAUAGGAAAAGUGAGAGAGGACACUUAUUCGAUUAGGCUGAGGCAUGAUAACCACUGUCCUUAGAGUAGAUCUGCCCUUCUUGGGUAUCAAAACAUAGUGCAAAAGGGAACCGACAACAUACCUCUAGGAUUCAACAACCAAAAAACCUUACUUUCAGUGCACACCUUUAGUAAGGAGUAGUACAACUUGAAUGGAUAUUCCUCCAGAUGAAAGGAUGAAGAAAAUGUUUGUUUUAUUUUUUAUUUUUUAUUUUAAUAAAACCAAUAGUGUUUGGGUAAGGUGCCUUUGUUAAGAAAACUACACCGAGAAACUGAGGCUACAAUGGAAAACUGAAAGAGAUAGGAGCAGUGGUUUAAUGAGAGAGCAAUCAGGAGAGAGAUGUAGUGGCAAAUAGGUGCAUAACACUAAGGACACUGCAUGCAGUCUCUCCAAGAGAACAGUUAAGGGCCUUAAAGGCUAAACGACUAUAAGCCUUAAAGAGAAAAACGACUAUAAGCCUUAAAGGCUAAACGACUCCAAAACUAAAACCCAAAUAAAAACCCAUUUAAACUAGAUAAUAAACUAUGAAUGGAAGGGAAUUAAGGGUCAUUUGACUUUAUUUGAAAACCAAAAUUGAGGGAAUUAAACCUGCGCAUGAUGCAUGUGCUGGCACAUCGUGCAUUUAGGGUUUUUUACUUGAGCCACUUUUGAAUGGGCUUGGACCCCCUAGGCACGCAAGGCCCCCUUUUGCCUUUCCACAAGCUAUGAGGCUAAGGGAUGUGGGUCAGUAUAAAUAUCCACUAAACGUGCUCAUCACUUUCCAAUGUGGGACUUCUUUUUUCACUUUAAAACACUCACACACAAACACUCUACCAACACGAAGGUAGUUUGUAAAAGUAUGAAUGAUGAUGCAAGAAUUAUUACGUUAUAUAGUAGUUGUGAAAUAUAAAUAGAAUGUUAUCCAAUGUGAAGGGUAGUUGUUGCUUUUUGGCAUCGAGCAAAAAAGCAAAUUCUAAAUGGAUGAAGAAACUUAAUAAAGAGGCAUCAUUUCUAUAUAAAAUCAAUAAUACAUGCUAACAAGGGAAUUAGAAUUAACUACUUCAAGAUAACAACACAUUAAUUUCUCACUCAUCAAAAUAAGAAACAAAACAAAAACUUUGAAGGUCAAAUCAAUAAUUAUAAUUAAGAUUCUUCAUGGGAAUCUCACUCCACAUAAAACUUAAUCUAAGACUGGUGUUGUUUUCUUAUUUUCAAAGAACUAACUAUCUUCUUCCUUUAAUAUAAGAUGUACUAGUGCUUGUGCCUCCAUGUUAUUUCUUCCUUGUUACGUACUUGGGACUAAAAACUCACUCCCUCGCUACAAUAAAUAUGAGAUUUUGCCACAAAUUAUUUUGUGAUUAAAAGAGAGUAUUUUGUGGUAGAAGAUUUUUUUCCACAAAAAAUUAUUUGUUGUGAGUUUGUUGCUAUAAGUCCGAGAGCAAUUAUUUUUAACCAUAAAAAUUAAUGGUAUAGCAAAAAUAAAUAAUUUUUUCACAAAAUAAAAUUUGUGACAACAUGUUAUUUUAACCACAAAAUAAAAUGUGGCAACAUAUCAAUUUUGUUUUUGCUAUAAAACAAGUUAUACCAAUAUGUCAUUUUUUUACAUGAAAAUAAUCAUGGUAAAAGAUCACUUUUUGUCAUAAAAUAAAAAAUUCCGGUGAAAGAUCACCUUUUCACCAUGAAAGAAAAUUUAUGGUGAAAUAUGUUUUAUAAGCUUUCAAAUGCAUAAUGAGAUUAAAUAUAAAAAAAAUUGUAAAAAAAAAAAAUACAACUUCAAAUCCAAUACAACUUUAUAAGCUUCCGAUGGCCAUUUCUGAAAUUUAAAUCUUUCCAAAGUUAGAAUUCCUAGAUCUUCAUCCACAAGCAUGGCCUAAACAAGAACAUCAGAGGGGUAGUCUUGUGGGUGCCUCCUGAUGGUUUCUCUAAUCUGCCGUUCUUGCUUGAAGAGGAUUGAUAGUGGAACAUCAUAAACAUCAGUGAGCAAGUCUGCAAGUUAUUUGAUCUUUGGAGAACUUCAAAAAUGACCACUACCUAUCAUGUGUCUCCAAGUCAUGAUCAGAAGCGUUUUUGCUGGGUUUUUCACUUGGAGGAUCAGAGACUCAGCCCAGUCCAAGACAAGCAGCUGCAAAGGAAACAAAGCUACUACUGUAAAUUUCCAAGAACUCCUGAUAAAGCACACAGAUUUAUUUGUGAAAUGAUCCUGAGAAUUCUUUGACUGGUAAGGCAGAGAUAUUAAUUCACAACCUACUAGUUCAUGUCGUAGAAACAUAAGAGGAAGAAAAAGGUUAAGAAACUUGAAUUUAAUGAAUGUUAUUUAUCAAAUUUGUUUCACCCUUCUGCAAAUAUUGUCCUGCUGGUGGAAUUGGCUAGCAAGGCCACCAGAUGAGGUAUGAAAUAAAAUACAGAUUGCAGAGGACGUUGGGAUACAACAAAUUUCAGUAGAUUUUAAGCUCUCAGCUUGACAUGGUUAUGAGCAGGGUGGGGGAUUAGUGGAGAUGAGGCUUGUUGAAAACCACCCAAGCUACCAACUUCUGAAAGUACAUAUUAGGAAAAAUCUUCCUUUUUCCAUAAAAACUUAUUCGUGUCUAAAUUUUCAGACAUGAGCUGAAUCAACCAAUCAAGAAAAAAGGGGAUGAUUGAAAGAGAAAAAAAUGUAGUACCUUUUCAGACUUGGGGAUUAGCUUCAUCUCUUUUUAGACUUGGGGAUUAGCUCACCGAGAGUAGCAAGUAGUGAGUUGAUUCUGUCCCUACGCCACUUCUCUGCCUGGCUGUGGUUAAAUAUAAACAACACAACUAAAUUUUACUUUAGAUUUGUGCCCAUAUGUGCAGAGUUUUCAUCAAAUAUGCCUUCAUCCCAAUGACCAAACACCUGUAUCUUUGACUAGUGCCUGAAAAGAGAAAUAAAAAACGAUGAAAAUGUUAAUUAGGAUGAUUGAGGUUAACCACUAAUUGUUUCUUCAAAGUUUGGUCAUGCUUACUGGUGUUUUCAUGGAAGGGAAGAUAUUCCUAAACUGCAAUGUCUCAUCCCCUGCUCCAAUCACCAUUGCCUGCAAAAGAAAUUUUCACUUUUUCCAAGUUUUUCUUAUAGAGAGCAUUAUGUGCAUAUGCAAUUGUAAGUUAUGCCUGGGAACUCACUUAUAGAAUUCACUUAUGCAUCUGUAAAUAGGUAUAUAUGGUUAUAAACUAUAGUAGAAUGCUCCAACUAUGGAGGAGAUAGCACUGUACCUGACCAUCCGAUGACAUGGCAAGAUAGAGUACUCGCAAACUAUGACCAGUUAGAUUUGCAACCCCACAAAAGUUGAAAACACACCUGGCUUCCUAUGUCAAAAUGGUUUAAUUCCCAUUUGUAGUGCUCCAGAAGCGGAUAUACAGAUUGGCAGUCCCACCUCCAAAUGCGAGGAGGCCGCUCUGGUGAGGUGACCAAGCUAUGGCCUUCACAGCAGCUGUGUGCUCUGUCAACUUCUAUACUGGUUGCUAAGAAUGCUGGUUCCACAACAAUACACUCUCAUUUAGUACUUCACUAAAGUUGGAUUGCAAAAAUGAAGUGGGAAAAGUACUGGUGGGAUGGAUACCUGAUUAUCAUUACCACUUGAUACAAGUUCUCUAUCAUUAUGGGACCAUUUCAGCCCACACACCAGAGGAUUUAAAAUCAAGGAUUAAGAUUGGUUGUCAUCUAGUCAUCAAAAGAAGAUGCAUCCAAGGUUCUCUUGAGUUCUAACGAACUUACUUCAGAUUAGUCCUUCAUACUAGUGACCAUGCUCAUCUCAUAUGAGACUACAACAAUGAUUACCUCUGUCUCUGCUAGAUUCGCUUUAGGGUUGGAUUUAUCAGUUUUCUUCCAACAUUGGGUUACAUGACGGCCAAGUUUGCCAUAGACAAAAUAGUUACCCCUCUUUUUUAUUGUCGGGUUAUGGACCUUGUUUGUUGAAUUGGGCUUGGUCCUUGAGUUUUGCUUUCUGCACUUAUUGUUUUUGGGUUUAGGUUUAUCUUUUACCACAUUAGCCUUGGAAGACAGUUCUUUGGCUUUUUCAACUUUGUCCCUAUUUCUGUUAUGUUCCUCAAUCCUAAUAUAGAUUAUGACAUCUUCAAGGGACAUUUGUUUUCUUUUGUGUUUGAUAUUAUUUUUAUAGUCUUUCUAGGAAUUUGGAAAAGUCUUAAUCAAGUAUCUAGCCACAAAAGGUUCAAGCAAUUUAAGGUCUUCAUUAGCAAGGUCAUUUAUAAGCAAGUGGUAGUCAUGGAUUUGAGAUGAAACAUCUUUAUCCUUGGUCAUUUGGAAUUUUUCUAAAAUUCCUUAUAACAUAUUUUUAGGUUCCAAAAUGUGAUUAUUUUUCAUGGCAUCCCAAAUAUCUUUAGCUACUUUAUAACAAUAGUAGACAUCAAAAAGUUGAUUAAAGAGUGCAUUAUGAAUGGACACAUCUAACUUGCUUAUUUCCAAUUUCCUAGGUAGGCAAAUUUUUAGACCUAUCUUUGGGUUUUGGGUUAGUCAAAAUAUGUCUCAAAUUCACUACGUCAAUAGCAUAAAAGACCCUUUCCUACCAUCUCUUAAAGAAUGUUCCAUUAAAUGGAUCAAUCUUAGAGGUAUCAGGAUGGGUGUGAACUAGGAAGGUCUUCAUUCUUUUUAAAAAAUCGUAUACUUUAAGAUUGUUGGUAAAAAAAUUAGGUCUCAAAGAAAGGGAUAAGAAAGUUGACUAAGCCCAAAACAAACAAAUAGAAAUAGGAAAAGUGAGAAAGGACACUUAUUAGAUUAAGUUGAGGUGUGAUAAUCAUUGUCCUUAAAGUAGAUUUGCCCUCUUUGGGUAUCAAAACGAGGUGCAAAGGGAUCCAACAACCUCCCUCCAAGAUUCAACAACCAAAAAACCUUGCUUUCAGUGCACACCUUUAGCAAGGAGUAAUACAACUCGAACUGAUAUUCCUCUAAACGAAAGGCUGAAAAGAAUGUUUGUUUUAUUUUUUAUUUAUUUUUAAUAAAACCAGUAGUGUUCGGAUAGCGUGUCUUUAUUAAGAAAACUGCAUCGAGAAAUUGAGGCUACAAUGGUAGAAUGAGAGAGAGAGAGAGAGAGAGAAGCAGUGGUUGAAUGCGAGAGCAGUCAAGAGAGAGAUGUAGUGGCAUAUAGGUGUGUAACACUGAAGAGGACACUCUAGGCAGUCUCUCUAAGUGAAUAGUCAAGGGCCUUAAAGGCCAAACAGUUAUAAGCUUUAAAGAGUAAAACGAUUAUAAGCCAUAAAGGCCAAACGACUCCAGAAUUAAAACCCAAAUAAAAACCUAUUUACACCAGAUAAUAAACUCAUAAUGGAAGAGAAUUAAAGGUCAUUUGACUUGAUUUGAAAACCAAAAUUGAGGGAAUUAAACCCUUGUAUGAUGCGUGUGCAGACACAUCGUGCAUCCCGUAAGCACAUGAGGCCCUCUUUGGCCUCUCCACGAGCUCAUGAAGCUAAAAGAGGUGGGUUAAUAUAAAUACCCACUAAAAGUGCUCAUCACUUUCCAAUGCGGGAUUUCUUUUUUCACUUUAAAACACUCACACGUACAAGCACUCUACUAACACAAGGUAGUGUGUAAAAGUAUGAAUGAGGAUGAAAGAAUUAUUACAUUACAUAGUAGUUGUGAAAUAUAAAUAGAAUGUUAUCCAAUGUGAAGGGUAAUUGUUGCUUUUUGGCAUCUAGCCAAAAAGCAAAUUCUAGAUGGAUGAAAAAACUUAAUAAAGAGGCAUCAUUUCUAUAUAAAAUCAAUAAUACAAGCUAACAAGAGAAUUCAAAUUAACUACUUCAAGAUAACAACACAUUAAUUUCUCAAACAUCAAAAUAAGAAACAAAACAAAUACUCUGAAGGUCAAAUCAAUAAUUACAAUUAAUAUUAUUCAUGGGAAUCUCACUCCACAAAAAAACUUAAUCCAAGAUUGGUGCUAUUUUCUUAUUUUCAAAGAAACAACUAUCUUCUUCCUUUAAUAUAAGAUCCACAAGUGGCUCCGUGUUAUUUCUUCCUUGUCACAUUCUUGGGACUAAAAAGCUCACUCUCUCACUACAACAAAUAUGAGACUUUGCCACAAAUUAAUUUGUGAUUAAAGGAAUGUAGUUUGUGGUAGAAGAAAUUUUUUCACAAAAAAAUUAUUUGUAGUGAUUUUGUUGCUAUAAGCCCAUGGGCAAUUAUUUUUAAUCAUAAAAUUUAAUUUUAUAGCAAAAAUAAAUAAUUUUUCAACAAAAUAACAUUUGUGGCAACUUGUUAUUUUGAAUCAUAAAAUAAAAUUUGUAGCAACAUAUCAUUUUUUUUUUUUUGCCAUAAAAUAAGUUUAUACCAAUAUGUUGGUUUUUUUAAAAUGAAAAUAAUCAUGAUAAAGGGUCACUUUUUUGUCAUAAAAAAAAUAAAAUAAAAUAAUAUUAUGGUGAAAGAUCACCUUUUCACCAUGAAAUAAAAUUUCUGAUAAAAUAUGUUUUAUAAGCUUUCAAAUGCAUAAUAAGGUUAAAUAGCAAAAAAAAAAUUGUAAAAAAAGCAAUACAACUUUAAAUCCAAUACAACUUUAUAAGCUUCCCAUGAACAUUUCUGAAAUUUAAAUCUUUCCAAAGUUAGAAUUCCUAGAUUUUCAUCCACAAGCCUGGCCUAAAUAGGAACAUCAGAGGGGUAGUCUUGUGGGUAUCUCCUGAUGGUUUCUCUAUGCUGCUGUUCUUGCUCGAAGAGUAUUGAAAGUGGAACAUUAUAAACUUCAGUGAACUAGUCUACAAGUUAUUUGAUCUUUGGAGAACUUCAAAAAUGGCCACUACCUACCAUGUGUCUCCAAGGCAUGAUCAGAAGCGUUUCUGCUGGGCUUUUCACUUGGAAGAUCAGAGACUCAGCAGAGUCCAGGACAAGCAUCUGUAAAGAAAACAAAGCUACUUCUGUAAAUUUCCAAAAACUCCUUCUGGUAAAGCACAUAGACUUAUUUGUGAAAUGAUCCUGACAAUUCUUUGACUAGUAAGGCAGAGAUCUUAAUUCCUACUAGUUUGUGUCAUAGAAAUAUAAGAGGAAAAAAAUGUUAAAAAACUCGAAUUUAAUGAAUGUUAUUUAUCAAAUGUGUUUCACCCUUCAGCAAAUAUUGUCCUGCUGGUGGAAUUGGCCAGCAAGGCCACCAGAUGAGGUAUGAAAUAAAAUGCGGAUUGCAGAAGACGUUGGGCUACAACAAAUUUCAGUGGAUUAAUUUUAAGCUCUUAGCUUGACAUGUUUAUGAGCAGGGUAGGGGAUUAGUCGAGAUGCGGCUUGUUGAAAACCACCUAAGCUGCCAACAAUGAUAUAUACCUCAAAUUCUUUCUCAGAAUCCUGGCCUCUACCAUCUACCUUCUUCACAGCCAAAUGGAAGUUAUCAUCCAACCCCAAUGAUAAUAGCUACAAAAGUGUUUUGUAAGCCUCUCUGCAUCUCCUUCCCAAUGGCGUUCGUUCUUGGCUUCAGGCCUAUCCAAGUGAACCUGAAAAAUACUCAGUUGGGUCGUUGAAUCAGAUUGGAUUUCUGGACAGAAAAAAUUUCAAUUCAAUGUUCUUUUUUUUUUUUUUUCAUAUUUACCAGAAUCAUCGUGAGAAAGUCUCUUGACUUUUAUCUGAUUCAGAAGAAGACUACAAUAUGAGAAAUUUCUACAACUUUGGUCAUCGUAGUUGAAUGAGAAAUUUCUGCAGCAGUGGUGACACAGAGAUUUAGUGAACUCAAAAAACACUCCUCCUGCAAUGACUCAUAUAUAUGCAUAGCAUGAAUUUCAAAACCACAAAGAGCUGAAACCUUCGGUUUGGCUUUCCAGAACACCAUGGAAAACAAAAGAAAAUAAAAUUUUAAACCUCGUAUGUCUUUACUUUAUUUGGGUUACCAAAAAUUGAAAACACACCACAAUUAACCCAUAUAGUACUUUAUUUGGAAAAAUCUUUCUUUUUCCAUAAAAAUUUAUUUGUGCCUAAAUUUUCAAAAAUUGAGCUGAAUCAAGUAAUGGAGAAGAAAAGGGAUGAUUGAAAGAGAAAAAGAUGUAGUACCUUUUCAGACUUGGGAAUUAGCUUCAUCUCUUUUUAGACUUAGGCAUUAGCUUACUGAGAGUACCAAGCUGCAAGUUGAUGCUGUCCCUAUGCCACUUCUCUGCCCAUAUGUGCCAUCAAAUAUGCCUUCGUCCCAAUGAUCAAACAACAGUAUCUUUGACUGGUGCCUGAAAAGAGAAAUAAAAAAAAGGGUGGGGGGGGGGGGUUGAAAAUGUUGAUUUGGAUGAUGGAAGUUAACCACUAAUUGUUUUUUCAAAGUUUCGUCAUGCUUACUGGUGUUUUCUAAACUGCAAUGUCUCAUCCCCUGCUGCACUCACUAUUGUCUGCAAAAGCAGUUUUCACUUUUUCUAAGUUUUUCUUAUAGAGAGCAUUAUGUGCAUAUGCAAUAGUAAGUUAUGCCUGGGAACUCACUUAUGGAAUUCACUUAUGCAUCUGUAAAUAGGUAGAGUGCCCGCAAACUAUCACCAAUUAGAGUUACAACCUAUUCAAAAAUCAUAGGAAAGUUGGAUUUAGUUCAUUUGUAAUGGAAAAUAAUGCCAGAAUUUUCAAGCAAUUCACUAAUUAAUACCAUUGUCAUUGAUGGGUGUUUCCAGACCAUAAUCUGAUUUUGGGAAGAGCCAUGAGUGCUGACUACCUCGUUCACAUCUUACUCCAUGCCAGAUUAUAUACCUGAAGGUGAAACCAUUGAAAUUUGAUUCAGUAUAGUAUAUUUGGGUGUCCUCAGUUAGUGCACUAAAACUCUAUGCCAUGCCCCACAAAAGUUGAAAACACACCUCGCUUCCUAUGUCAACAUGGCUUAAUUGAUUCCCACUUGUGGUACUCCAGAAGCAGAUAUACUGAUCCGCAGUCCCACCUCCAAAUGCAAGGAGGCCACUCUGGUGAGGUGACCAAGCUGUGUCUUUCACAGCAGGUGUGUGCUCUGUCAACUUCAAAACUGGUUGCUAAGAAUGCUGGUUCCACAACAAUACACUCUCAUUUAGUACUUCACUAAAGUUGAAUUGCAAAAAUGAAGUGGGAAAAGUACUGGUGGGAUGGAUACCUGAUUAUCAUUACCACUUGAUGCAAGUUCUCUAUCAUUACGGGACCAUUUCAGCCCACACACCAGAGGAUUUAAAAGCAAGGAUUAAGAUAGGUUGUCAUUUAGUCAUCAAAGGAAAAUGCAUCCAAGGUUCUGUUGAGUUCUAAUGAACUUACUUCAGAUUUGUGCCCUACAAGCUGGCUACCUCAAACCUAAAAUGAAAAAUGGUGAAGCAGAUAAGCAUCCCAUGCUUACAGAAAACUGGACAAGAAUCGAAACAUACCAUGUGUCAAGAACAGAUUGGAAGAAGUAUCACACAUAGACAUGGCAAGAACAUCAAUCUGGUAAACAAUGAGAAAAAACAACUACAAAUUUAUCACUACAAUUCAAAUUGGUGCAGUGUAUAGUAUUUUUUUUAUUUUUACAGAGCCUAGAAUUGUUCAUUCUAUUGCAGUCACCAUCACAUUUAUGCAGUUCUUUGGCAAGCUUUCUCCUAUAUGUAUAUUUUGUUAUCAUAUUAUUUGACACAAAUAUAUGAUGUGGCUAAAUAUCAUAUUUUAUUACGAAUAGAAGCUUCAUCUUUAAAAGAAAUCCUUUUUGUCAUAAAAAUAAAAUUUGUUACAAAAAUCUUCUUUUUUCCAUAAAAAUUUGUUUAUGCCUAAAAUUAUGGUAGCAAAAUGUGAAAUUUAUUGUAGUGCCUUAAGAAGCAUUCCUGAAAAGAGUUCAAGUCUUCAAAUCUCACUUGCAACUAAAGACCCGUCUAUUGCAUGGGCAGGCAAUGGCAAAUCUUCCUCCUGGGACUGCUCCAAAAGAUCCAAAAUGGUAAUCAGCACAAUUUAAUAGUUAAACCAUUCAACUUUAAAUAUUUGUACUUGUUAAAAUUUAUGCAUGGAGAGUGGUGGUAUGAGUUGAUCCAAUUAAUUCACAAUUCCUCAAGGCAAAGCCGAUAUGAAAAAAUAGUCAGUGUAUGAUUUGAGGCUGUCAUGAUGAUAGAAGGUAUUGCUGAAGAAGUUGAUGCAAGUAUAUCAAGUUUGGAAAAUAUAGGCCUUUUGGAACAAUAGUGUUCCAAGGAGAAUUCUAUACUAACAUGUUUUCAGUUGUUGCAAGGAAACUUUGUUUCUUCUAAGAAGUUCUCCGAGCUGCUCCUGUUUUGAAAAAGAAACAGAGGUUUAUUUAAUAUUGAAGGAAGCAAAAUCACAACAUAAUGCAGAGUGUUAAGUUUUGAUAAGACCCAUUAAUAAAUGUUGAGAGGUCUUGAGAGGUAGGUUCAAUUUUUUAUUUACUUGAAUUAAAUUUAGUGCAUGCGAAAAUAGAAACACCCACUCCGUCACUCUACAAGAAGAAACAAGAAUAAAAAUGACAUACCCAUUGCUUUUUGGAAAAAAUAAGACAUUGUUGCAGGUAUCUGUUCCCAAAUAACCUGCAAACCAAUGCAUAUAUGAUUAAAAUAAUUGCAAUUUGAGGGUUAAAAAGUUAAGGCCUUGUUUGAUAACUAUUUUUGAAAGUUGUUAUUCAUCAAAACAACAAAACAAAAAUAUAUGUUCAAUAACUGGAAAACAAUUAUUUUCUUUUAAAAACAGAAAAUGUUGUAUUUUUAAUUGUUUUUUACCAGAGGGAGCACAAAGUCAAGAAAGGUUUUACGUGAUGGAAAAUGUUAAUAAUGUACCAAGUAAUAUCAAGAAGACAAGUCUCUUAUUAUACCUGGAGAGCUACUUCGAGUCUUUCAGAGAGUGUCGAUGCCCAUAUUAACCUUAGAAAUUUAAAAAUAAAUAAAUAAAUAUCAAAAUUUUUGCAGCACAGAUUUGUCUACUCAAUGAAUUGGAAGAAAAUUAUUUUGAGCAUACAACAUGUACCUGAUCUUUAAGAUGAUUUUAAAUCAGAUUAUCAAGAUCUCGGGAGUCUAAUUAGCCACACUUCAGAAUUGAUCCCUUCAUCUGCACAUUACCAAAAAUGCGAUUUCCAGACACAGUCUCUACUCUUGGAACUGACAACAAAAGAUAUUCCUAUUGCUUAUCAGAAAAACCAGUAUUAAAAGCCUGCUGCUAUGAUAUUUUAGUAGACCAAGAAAUCAUACACAUAGAGCUGCUUGGUGCACCAGCUUCAGGAAACAUGUACAAAGCCUGAAAGAAAACAAAAUUGGGUAUUUAAGCUCAACUUCCCUUUUUUUUUCCAAAAAAAAAUUAUUUAUAGGACAGAAUAAGUACCUUCAUUACAAAAGUUGGUUAUCGAUCAAAAUGUGUGGAAUGUGAGCUAUAUGGUGCCACUCUUCACCUGUCCCAAACUUGCACCGAUCUUUCAGCAAUGGACAGUUUUCAAUUGUUAGAAAAGAGAGGGAGGUGGGCAGCCCCUCUUCUGUCAAGGAUUGGAGCUUCGGGCAGUAACUGAUUUUUAAUUUUUGAAGAGUGGUGAGCAGUUGAAGCCCCUUACUGUCCAGAGACCUGAGAUUUGGAAGAUCUGAGAUUUCGAGAGAGGUAAGGGUGGAGGGCAGCAGGCAUUCCUUUGGAAAUAGCUCCAAGUCUUCACAUUUACUUGAAAUGCUGAAACGUCUAAGAGACGUCAGACCUUGUAGACCCAACUCCAUCUGGGAUCUGAAUUUUUCACAGUUUGUAAUUGAAAGUGAAGUUAGGUUGGAGGGAAGACCCUGCACUGGGAAUAUCAAUUCAGGACAACCAUUCAAUGUUAAUGACUGAAAGCAUGCAGCGUUGUGCAACAGCGACUUGAGAUUCUUGCAAUUGUAGAUGGAAAAUCCUGAGAAGUUGAGCGCUGGCAAUUCAAUAGACACAAGAUUAGGGCACCCACUGAUGAACAAGAUAUCAAAAGAUGUAGGAUCCCCCUCUGAAAUUGAAAAGGAGAGGGAUUCAAGGCCUCUCACUUCGUAGAUCUGAAGAAAAGUCAACCUUGGGAAGAUGCUGAGCGGGAAGCACGAGAGAGAAUUGCAAGUACUAUAGUAGAUGUUCAAACGUUCUAGUAAAGAGAAGUGACAUUUGAAGAACUCAGGUAGGAGCAACUCUAGGUUCUUCGAUUCAUAGAUACGCAAUGAUUUCAAUGUAAUGGGCAAACAAACUCUGCACAAGGUUCUGGAAAAAGAACAUUUUGUGAAUGUCAAAUCUUGAAGACAAGUAUUGCUUUGCAAUAUUUCCUCCUCCAGUAGGGACUCCAAACAGUCGGCAUUUUCAAUCGAGAGCUUCUGCAGUACUGGUGGCAGUUCCGUCCACUUUGAGAUGUCUGAAGUAAUCAAACUCUCAAGACGCAUGAAAUCACUAGCUGGGCUCCUAAAAAACAC